rnacentral:misc_RNA from 1 species
GGAAGGGUCUGGUGUGCUCCUGUUGGAAGAACUUGAACAUGCUAAGCAAAGAGGAGCAAAUAUUUAUGCCGAGUUUCUAGGUGGCAGCUUCACUUGCGAUGCUUACCACAUUACUGAGCCUCACCCGGAAGGAACUGGCAUUGCUCUUUGCAUUGAGAAGGCAUUAACAGAAUCAGGAGUAGCUCGAGAGAAUGUCAACUAUGUGAAUGCUCAUGCAACUUCAACACCUGCCGGUGAUUUGAA